rnacentral:lncRNA from 1 species
GUCUAUUUUAGCAUGAAUAGCUGCAGAUGAAAUAAACAGGAUAUUGCAUAGGUCAAUGAUUUUUAUAAAUAGUAUACCAAUCUACUGAGCAUCUAAGAUUGCUUUUCCACUCAUGGUGUCCAGGUGAAGUUUAUUAAAAUCCUAAUUUAUCCUUGGCUACAAAUGCAUUGUACCAUUUUGUUUGCCCACUGUUGCUCUUGAUCUUCUUGCUUGAGGUCGGCCACCGAGAUAGAUGUGACUGAGGUGAAACCACUGUUGGAGCUUCACCCGAACACCUGCAAAGAAGUUCUCACCAGGGGCAUUCUCCGGUGAAGACCUUUUAACGCUCAAAUCAGGAGAUGGAGAACAAUGAGAGAAGAGAACGAGGAGUCGAUAAUGUACCUUGAAGGAUCCCGAAGCCUUUAUUUAUAGAAGAGUUAGAGUCAUAUCCAUCUCGGAGUCCUGAUAAUUUUUGGAUUUAUCAUGCAGAUUGAUUUAGAUAAGAUAUUUUUCUUUUACAGGAGACUCAAUCAUAAAAGAAUUCUAUUCUAUCUGGAUUUUCUCAAUUUGAAGGAGAGACGGAUCUGAUGAAGAGCUUAGCUCGACAAUGGACGAGCUAUAAUAGAUCAUCCGGGGCUGAAGUUUUAGAGUCCGUGGAGUAGGUGCUCAACCUCAAGUUGGCUAAGAUUGGUCAGCUAUAUACGAGCUAUGGUAGGUCGUCUGAAUACGAGGUGAACCAAAAUUGGGUUGAGUAUGAACUACUACCAAUUUAGUAGGUCGUGCCCGAUG